rnacentral:rRNA from 1 species
GAUGAACGCUAGCGGCAGGCCUAACACAUGCAAGUCGAACGGUAACAUGAGUAGCAAUACUUGAUGACGAGUGGCGCACGGGUGCGUAACGCGUAUGCAACUUACCUCUAACUGGAGAAUAGCCUUCCGAAAGGAAGAAUAAUACUCCAUAAUAUUACGAUGUGGCAUCACAUUGUUCUUAAAGCUUCGGCGGUUAGAGAUGGGCAUGCGUCUGAUUAGCUAGUUGGUAGUGUAACGGACUACCAAGGCGAUGAUCAGUAGGGGGCGUGAGAGCGUGACCCCCCACACGGGUACUGAGACACGGACCCGACUCCUACGGGAGGCAGCAGUAAGGAAUAUUGGUCAAUGCCCGGAAGGGUGAACCAGCCAUCCCGCGUGAAGGAUGAAGGGGCUCUGCCUUGUAAACUUCUUUUGUAUGGGGCGAAAAAAGGGAGUUUAUCCUCGACUGACGGUACCAUAAGAAUAAGCACCGGCUAACUCCGUGCCAGCAGCCGCGGUAAAGUAGUCG